AGCACACAAGACCAAAAAUUUCCCCUUCCACUCCAAAAUUUCCCCAUCCGAAACCCUCGCCGCAUCCACCCACCCACCAUGCCGCCGCCGCCGCCUCCGGUACUAUCGCUGCCGGACGAGCUCCUUCUUCCGCCUCCCUCCGGACGAGCCCGAGCACCUCCUGCGCGCCUCCCUCGUCAGCAAGGUCUGGCUCGGCCUCCUCUCCGACCCUCGCUUCCGUGCUCGCUACCGCGACUUCCAUGGAGCUCUCCCCAUGCUGGGCUUCCUUUGUUCCUGGCACCCCAACUCCGUCCGUGAGGUGGAAGAUA
rnacentral:rRNA from 1 species